GGCCUUGUAGUGAAGUUCAUGUUGAGUUGCAAGCUCAUUGAUGUGCGUGUAUAGGCGCACCAAGGUCU
rnacentral:tRNA from 1 species